UGGGGAAGAGAGAGGAGAGAUGGAAGGGAGAAGAGACCCCCUUCCAUUCCCUCUCAAAAAGUCAGGCUCCACCUGCUACUGCCAAGCCAACCAGCCAAGCCCGCCAGCAAAAGUUUACUUUUGAAUUUCGAACACGCUCAGGAACCAAGCGCUGCUCAGAAGAGAACAACUCAACCUAUGAACCACCUGUGCCAGUUGGAGGAAGCCGUAAGAUUGGACCGACUACCAUCUGACCUGUCCGGGCCAAGCAGCAGCGCAGUGCCAACGCUAACCUACUCUGCGGCCCGGAUUACCAUUCACGCUGCAGCCAUUUACAGCGUCCUUCUCGAACGCAACCAGAGGGAAAGGAGGAUUUGUCCGUGCCAUCCAACGGCAGACCCAACUGGAAAUCCACGCAACUCCUCGCCCCUGGUAAGCGCUUAACAGUUACCACAGUUAUUACCAUCAUUAACCUGAGAGAACAAACUCCCGUGGCAUCUUCCAACCUCCCCGUUACUGAACUCUGACGAAGCCUGGCCUGGUCCCGGCCUGGGUCGCC